CACCUCUCAACACCAUGAUGGAUAUGAAUGAACUUGGAGAAUCAGCCUGCUACCUCCGCCAGGGAUACCAGGAAAUGAUGAAGGUGCACACUGUCCCAUGGGAUGGCAAGAAACGGGUCUGGGUGCCUGAUGAACAGGAUGCCUAUGUCGAAGCUGAGGUCAAGACUGAAGCUACUGGAGGCCGAGUCACUGUGGAGACCAAAGACCAGAAGGUGCUGACAGUGCGUGAAACGGAAAUGCAGCCCAUGAACCCACCCCGCUUCGACUUACUGGAGGACAUGGCCAUGAUGACGCACCUCAACGAGGCUGCAGUGCUGCACAACCUGCGCCAGCGUUAUGCUCGCUGGAUGAUCUACACAUACUCGGGCCUCUUCUGUGUCACCAUUAACCCAUACAAAUGGCUCCCGGUCUACACAGCUACUGUGGUGGCCGCCUACAAGGGCAAGCGCCGCUCGGAGGCCCCGCCUCAUAUAUAUGCAGUGGCAGAUAAUGCCUACAAUGACAUGCUCCGCAACAGAGAGAACCAGUCCAUGCUGAUCACCGGAGAGUCGGGGGCCGGUAAGACGGUUAACACCAAGCGGGUCAUUCAGUAUUUUGCCAUCGUCGCUGCCCUGGGAGACGGGCCGGGCAAGAAGGCACAAUUUCUGGCAACAAAAACCGGGGGCACCCUUGAGGAUCAAAUCAUCGAGGCUAACCCUGCCAUGGAGGCUUUUGGUAACGCCAAGACUCUGAGGAACGACAACUCCUCCCGUUUUGGCAAGUUCAUCCGCAUCCACUUUGGUCCCACUGGGAAGCUGGCCUCUGCGGACAUUGACAGCUAUCUCCUGGAAAAGUCUCGAGUGAUCUUCCAGCUGCCCGGUGAGCGUGGUUACCAUGUCUACUACCAAAUCCUCUCCGGGAAGAAGCCAGAGCUGCAGGACAUGCUGCUCCUCUCCAUGAACCCCUACGACUACCACUUCUGCAGUCAGGGGGUCACCACCGUGGAUAACAUGAACGACGGGGAGGAGCUUAUCGCCACUGAUCAUGCAAUGGACAUCCUGGGCUUCAGCGUGGAUGAGAAGUGCGCAUGCUAUAAGAUCGUGGGCGCCCUCCUGCACUUUGGCAACAUGAAGUUCAAACAGAAGCAGAGAGAGGAACAGGCUGAGGCAGACGGCACUGAGAGUGCCGACAAGGCUGCCUACCUGAUGGGAGUCAGCAGUGGAGACCUCCUCAAAGGUCUUCUGCACCCCCGGGUUCGUGUGGGAAACGAGUAUGUGACCAAGGGCCAGAGUGUGGAGCAGGUGGUAUUUGCUGUGGGGGCCCUGGCCAAGGCUACCUAUGACCGGUUGUUCCGAUGGCUGGUAUCUCGAAUCAAUCAGACCCUGGACACAAAGCUCCCCCGUCAGUUCUUCAUUGGGGUCCUGGAUAUCGCUGGUUUUGAGAUCUUUGAGUUUAACAGCUUCGAGCAACUGUGUAUCAACUUCACCAACGAGAAACUGCAGCAGUUCUUCAACCAGCACAUGUUCGUGCUGGAGCAGGAGGAGUACAAACGGGAGGGCAUUGACUGGGUCUUCAUCGACUUCGGCCUUGACCUGCAGCCCUGCAUCGACCUCAUCGAGAAGCCUCUGGGCAUUCUGUCCAUCCUGGAGGAGGAGUGCAUGUUCCCCAAGGCUUCAGACGCAAGCUUCAGGGCCAAGCUCUAUGACAAUCACUCUGGGAAGUCACCUAAUUUCCAGCAGCCUCGCCCAGACAAGAAACGCAAGUACCAGGCUCACUUCGAGGUGGUCCACUACGCAGGCGUGGUACCUUAUAGCAUUGUGGGCUGGCUGGAGAAAAACAAGGACCCCCUCAAUGAGACCGUGGUCCCCAUCUUCCAAAAGUCACAGAAUAGGCUCUUGGCCACCCUCUAUGAGAACUAUGCAGGUUCUUGCUCCACCGAGCCCCCCAAGUCUGGGGUGAAAGAGAAACGAAAGAAAGCAGCAUCAUUUCAGACAGUGUCUCAGCUUCACAAGGAGAACCUCAACAAGCUUAUGACCAACCUGCGGGCCACACAGCCCCACUUCGUCCGUUGUAUCGUCCCCAACGAGAACAAGACUCCAGGGGUCAUGGAUUCCUUCUUGGUGCUACACCAGCUACGCUGUAACGGGGUCCUAGAGGGGAUCCGGAUCUGCCGCCAAGGGUUCCCCAACAGACUGCUGUAUGCUGACUUCAGGCAGCGGUACCGAAUCCUGAACCCCAGUGCCAUCCCAGAUGACACCUUUGUGGACAGCAGGAAGGCCACAGAGAAGCUGCUGGGCUCUCUGGACAUUGACCACACCCAGUAUCAGUUUGGCCACACCAAGGUGUUCUUCAAGGCUGGGCUUCUAGGCAUCCUGGAGGAGCUCCGGGACCAGCGUCUGGCUAAGGUGCUGACACUGCUGCAGGCUCGGAGCCGGGGCCGCCUCAUGCGUCUGGAGUACCAGCGCAUGCUAGGAGGAAGGGAUGCCCUGUUCACCAUCCAGUGGAACAUCCGGGCCUUCAAUGCCGUCAAGAACUGGUCCUGGAUGAAGCUCUUCUUCAAGAUGAAGCCACUGCUGCGCUCAGCACAGGCAGAGGAAGAGCUGGCAGCACUUCGGGCAGAACUGCGGGGGCUGCGGGGGGCCCUGGCUACGGCUGAGGCCAAGCGUCAGGAGCUGGAGGAGACUCAAGUCAGUGUCACUCAGGAGAAGAAUGACCUGGCCCUGCAGCUGCAGGCAGAGCAGGACAACCUAGCGGAUGCGGAGGAGCGCUGCCACUUGCUCAUCAAGUCCAAGGUGCAGCUCGAGGCGAAGGUGAAGGAGCUGAACGAGCGGCUGGAGGAUGAGGAGGAAGUGAACGCUGACCUGGCCGCACGCAGGCGCAAGCUGGAGGAUGAGUGCACGGAGCUCAAGAAGGACAUUGAUGACCUGGAGCUGACCCUGGCCAAGGCUGAGAAGGAGAAACAAGCCACCGAGAAUAAGGUGAAGAACCUGACAGAGGAGAUGGCUGCCCUGGACGAGUCCGUGGUCCGCCUGACUAAGGAGAAGAAGGCGUUGCAGGAGGCUCACCAGCAGGCUCUGGGUGACCUGCAGGCUGAAGAGGACCGUGUGAGUGCGCUGGCCAAGGCCAAGAUCCGGUUGGAGCAGCAAGUAGAGGACGUGAGUUGGAGUCUCUUGGGGGGCUGUCGGGGUGGACAGUCACCUUGGCUUGCUCGAAGCUGAGCCCUACUCUACCCCACAGCUGGAGUGCUCCCUGGAGCAAGAGAAGAAGCUUCGCAUGGAUACAGAACGUGCCAAGCGCAAGCUCGAAGGAGACCUGAAGCUGACGCAGGAGACAGUGACAGACACCACACAAGACAAGCAGCAGCUGGAGGAGAAGUUGAAGAAGAAGGAUUCAGAGCUGAGUCAGCUGAGCCUGCGGGUGGAGGAUGAGCAGCUCCUGGGGGCGCAGUUGCAGAAGAAGAUCAAGGAGCUACAGGCGAGGGCUGAGGAGCUGGAGGAGGAGCUGGAGGCGGAGCGAGCAGCCCGUGCCCGUGUGGAAAAGCAGCGAGCUGAGGCAGCCCGAGAGCUGGAGGAGCUGAGUGAGAGGCUAGAGGAGGCUGGUGGAGCCUCUGCCGGGCAGCGUGAGGGUUGCCGCAAGCGUGAGGCUGAGUUGGGCCGACUGCGGCGGGAGCUGGAGGAGACAGUUCUGAGACACGAGGCCACUGUGGCUGCCCUGCGCCGCAAGCAGGCUGAUAGCGCCGCAGAGUUGAGCGAGCAGGUAGACAGCCUCCAGCGGAUCCGGCAGAAACUGGAGAAGGAAAAGAGUGAGCUGCGCAUGGAGGUGGAUGAUCUGGGGGCCAGCGUGGAAACUCUGGCCCGUGGCAAGGCCAGUGCAGAGAAGCUGUGCCGGACCUAUGAGGACCAGCUCAGCGAGGCCAAGAUCAAAGUGGAGGAGCUGCAGCGGCAGCUGACUGACGCCAGCACCCAGCGGGGGCGGUUACAAACGGAGAACGGGGAGCUGGGCCGCCUGCUUGAGGAGAAGGAGUCUAUGAUCAGCCAGCUGAGCCGCGGGAAGACCUCAGCCGCUCAGAGUCUGGAGGAACUUCGGCGGCAGUUGGAGGAAGAAAGCAAGGCCAAGGGUGCGCUGGCUCACGCAGUGCAGGCUCUGCGGCACGACUGCGACCUCCUGCGAGAGCAGCAUGAGGAAGAGUCCGAGGCGCAGGCUGAGCUGCAGCGGCUGCUGUCCAAAGCCAACGCUGAGGUGGCACAGUGGAGGAGCAAGUAUGAGGCGGACGCCAUCCAAAGGACGGAGGAGCUGGAGGAGGCCAAGAAGAAGCUGGCCCUGAGGCUGCAGGAGGCAGAAGAAGGCGUAGAGGCUGCGAAUGCCAAGUGCUCCUCACUGGAGAAGGCCAAGCUGCGGCUGCAGACAGAGUCCGAGGACGUGACCUUGGAGCUGGAGCGGGCCACCUCAGCCGCUGCUGCACUGGAUAAGAAGCAGCGGCACUUGGAGCGGGCCCUGGAGGAACGGAGGCGGCAGGAGGAGGAGAUGCAGCGGGAACUGGAGGCGGCGCAGAGGGAGGCUCGAGGUCUGGGCACCGAGCUCUUUCGAUUGCGGCACAGCCAUGAGGAGGCGCUUGAGGCUCUGGAGACACUCAAGCGGGAGAACAAGAAUCUGCAGGAGGAGAUCAGCGACCUUACAGACCAGGUCAGCCUCAGCGGGAAGAGCAUCCAGGAACUGGAGAAGGCCAAGAAGGCGCUGGAAGGGGAGAAGAGUGAGCUGCAGGCUGCGCUGGAGGAGGCUGAGGGGGCGCUGGAGCUGGAAGAGACAAAGACCCUGCGGAUCCAGUUGGAGUUGUCCCAGGUCAAGGCGGAAGUGGACCGAAAGCUGGCGGAGAAGGAUGAGGAGUGUACUAACCUGAGGCGCAACCACCAGCGGGCUGUGGAGUCCUUGCAGGCCUCCCUGGAUGCCGAGACUAGGGCCCGCAAUGAAGCACUGCGUCUCAAGAAGAAGAUGGAGGGGGACCUCAAUGACCUGGAGUUACAGCUGGGCCACGCAACCCGCCAGGCCAUGGAGGCACAGGCAGCCACGAGGCUGCUUCAGGCCCAACUCAAGGAGGAGCAAGCAGGGCGUGAUGAGGAGCAGAGGCUGGCUGCCGAGCUCCGCGAGCAGGGCCAGGCCCUCGAGCGCAGGGCUGCACUGCUGGCAUCUGAGCUGGAAGAGCUUCGGGCCGCCCUGGAACAGGGCGAGCGCAGCCGAAGGCUGGCUGAACAGGAGCUGUUGGAGGCCACAGAGCGCCUCAACCUACUGCAUUCACAGAACACAGGCCUCCUGAACCAGAAAAAGAAGCUGGAGGUGGACUUGGCCCAGCUGAGUGGGGAGGUGGAGGAGGCUGCGCAGGAGAGGCGGGAAGCUGAGGAGAAGGCCAAAAAGGCCAUCACGGAUGCAGCCAUGAUGGCUGAGGAGCUGAAAAAGGAGCAGGACACAAGUGCACACCUCGAACGGAUGAAGAAGACCCUGGAACAGACAGUGCGGGAGCUGCAGGCCCGCCUUGAGGAAGCAGAGCAGGCCGCACUCCGGGGUGGGAAGAAGCAAGUGCAGAAGCUGGAAGCCAAGGUGCGGGAACUGGAGGCAGAGCUUGACGCAGAGCAGAAGAAGCACGCUGAGGCCCUCAAGGGUGUGCGCAAACAUGAGCGCAGGGUCAAGGAGCUUGCGUACCAGACUGAGGAAGACAGGAAGAACCUGGCUCGCAUGCAGGACCUAGUGGACAAGCUGCAGAGCAAGGUCAAGAGCUACAAGCGUCAGUUUGAGGAGGCGGAGCAGCAGGCCAGUACCAACCUGGCUAAGUACCGCAAGGCCCAGCACGAGUUAGACGACGCUGAGGAGCGGGCAGACAUGGCAGAGACCCAGGCCAACAAGCUGCGGGCAAGGUCCAGGGAUGCCCUGGGUCCCAAGCACAAGGAGUGAGAGACUCCAGCUCUGACGAGGGAUACCCCGUGCUCCUGUUGUCUUUCCACCUGCCACUCCACAGAGCUCUGGAACCCCAAAUAAACACCACAUCUGCAGCAGCAGCCGCUGUCCUGUCCUUAUUUCUUGCGGCUAGAGGAGCUGGGAACAGAACCUCAUGGACAAAGUCAGGCCCACGUCAAUCUUUAAAAUAAAGUUCUUUAAUAGUCUCCAUUUAAUUGGUUUAUUUGCUGUUAAUAAACUGGCAACACAGGAGGAGCCAAGGGUAAGCUCUCAGCCAGGCUCCCGUGUCUGGGCUCAGGCAGGCACAGGCACUCCAUGCCCCAAAGGGAUGGAGAGAAAAGGCCCCCCACUUCCGGGGAACCUCCAGGAUGAACACAGUGGCCAAUGAGCAAAGAACCAGAGGAGCUAAAGGAAGACAAGGGAGGUCGGGAGGAGAGAUGGGUAGACCUGGGGAAGGCAGCAUUCUCUGAUGCCCAACCCUGCCCAGGGCUCAGGAGCUCUGCCUGUGCCCUGAGGCCAGGGAGGCUUGGCUCACAGGGGUCUGCAUCUUCCUUCCAUCGUGGGACUGAUGGGAGGAGCUCAGGCAGAGAUGGUUUCCAUGUUCCCUUUCUCUGGCAGGCCAGGGCUCCAGGAGUGUGAGGGAAAGGUGGGCAUGGUGCCAUUGUCCUUACCCUGGGGACAGUGAAGACACAGGCUCCCCAAUGGCCUGGGCCCUCAGACCCAGGAGACAAGAACUUGUAGGAUGUUCCUUCCACCGAGCCUGCACCUGAGCACCCGGGGUAGACAGAGCACUGGGGAGGCAAGAGAGGGACAGGGGUGGGCAGAGUGCGUGGCGUGUGCACCCUUGCUCACUGCACUCGCCCCGGCCCAGCAGCUUCUCGAAGCCUGGCUCAAGGUCACUCCUCAGUGAAGUCUCUGUCUAUGUCCAUGUAGGGCUCUUCAAUGUA
rnacentral:lncRNA from 1 species